rnacentral:rRNA from 1 species
AAGACGGAGUCUAACUGUCUCUUUUCUGGUAUUUUGAAUUUAAUUUCUUUGUGAAGAAGCAAAGAUAUAAUCGUAGGACGAGAAGACCCUGUCGAGCUUAAGUAAUGAGAUAUAGGUGCAGUAACGGGUUUUUUUGUUAACGUUCCUUAAUAAAGGAAGUGUUUUACUCNNGAAGCGGGCGUAUUUUGUGUCUUAUGUUUUGAUUGGGGCAAUCGCGGAGAAAAGAUACCCUCCGCUAUAAAUUAAAUAAUACUGUGAAGAGACUUCUUUGAGGUGUAAGAUUUACGUAUUUGUUGAUCCACGACGAAGUGAUCAGAGGAACAAGUUCCCNNAGGGAUAACAGCGA